CAAGCAAACGUUUCUGGGGCAGUUUCUGAGUUUCACCCAGUGGCUGUCUGCCUUUAGCCCUGCCAGCACCUCCAGCCUGGGGACAGGCAGGGCAGCUCCGGGUACCAAACCACUGCAGCUGCUCAUCGGGGCCCCUCAUGAGCAAGGAGACACUGAUUUCAGGUAAAGCCUGUCUGUCAGUGUGGUCAGAGGUGAGUCCCCGACACCCUGUGAUAUAACAGUGUAUUUUCCUCUGGGGCAAGAGCUGCAGCUGGAUUCAUCAGGAGGAAUGGGAUGUGAGGGCCUUCCUCAGCUCUAACCUGAUCACCUCUUCUGGGUCCAGCUGGCCCUUUGAAGAUACCUCCUCACUCAGCUUGCUUUUCUCCCCGGUUCCCCUGUAGUGGUUCAGAGCCUGCCCUCGUUCACACCUCCCCUUCACUCUGCAAACAGCAAAGCUGAGACGAUGACGAAGGCCGCUAAGAGAGGAAGGGCCAAGUACAAUGUCAAUAUUGCCGACCUGCUGCAUGAGGAAUGAACCAUGCUUGUA